rnacentral:tRNA from 1 species
AGCUCAGUUGGUUAGAGCGACGGAUUGUGGUUCCGUAGGUCGUGGGUUCGAGCCCCAUCU